rnacentral:rRNA from 1 species
AUUGAACGCUGGCGGCAGGCCUAACACAUGCCAGUCGAGCGGAUGAAGGGAGCUUGCUCCUGGAUUCAGCGGCGGACGGGUGAGUAAUGCCUAGGAAUCUGCCUGGUAGUGGGGGAUAACGUCCGGAAACGGGCGCUAAUACCGCAUACGUCCUGAGGGAGAAAGUGGGGGAUCUUCGGACCUCACGCUAUCAGAUGAGCCUAGGUCGGAUUAGCUAGUUGGUGGGGUAAAGGCCUACCAAGGCGACGAUCCGUAACUGGUCUGAGAGGAUGAUAAGUCACACUGGAACUGGGACACGGUCCAGACUCCUACGGGAGGCAGCAGUGGGGAAUAUUGGACAAUGGGCGAAAGCCUGAUCCAGCCAUGCCGCGUGUGUGAAGAAGGUCUUCGGAUUGUAAAGCACUUUAAGUUGGGAGGAAGGGCAGUAAGUUAAUACCUUGCUGUUUUGACGUUACCAACAGAAUAAGCACCGGCUAACUUCGUG